AUGCGUAUAGCUCAGUGGCAGAGCAUUCGACUGCACAGAGAUCGAGAGGUCCCCGGUUCAAACCUGGUGCCCCUC